UACGUAGGGUCCGAGCGUUGUCCGGAAUUACUGGGCGUAAAGAGCUCGUAGGUGGUUUGUCGCGUUGUUCGUGAAAACUCACAGCUCAACUGUGGGCGUGCGGGCGAUACGGGCAGACUGGAGUACUGCAGGGGAGACUGGAAUUCCUGGUGUAGCGGUGGAAUGCGCAGAUAUCAGGAGGAACACCGGUGGCGAAGGCGGGUCUCUGGGCAGUAACUGACGCUGAGGAGCGAAAGCGUGGGGAGCCAAAGGG
rnacentral:rRNA from 1 species